GAUCCUGGCUCAGAUUGAACGCUGGCGGCAGGCUUAACACAUGUAAGUCGAACGGUAACAUAAAGAAGCUUGCUUCUUUGAUGACGAGUGGCGGACGGGUGAGUAAUGCUUGGGAAUCUAGCUUAUGGAGGGGGAUAACUACGGGAAACUGUAGCUAAUACCGCGUAGUAUCGAGAGAUGAAAGUGUGGGACCUUCGGGCCACAUGCCAUAGGAUGAGCCCAAGUGGGAUUAGGUAGUUGGUGAGG
rnacentral:rRNA from 1 species